rnacentral:rRNA from 1 species
GAUGAACGCUGGCGGCGUGCCUAAUACAUGCAAGUCGAGCGAACAGACGAGGAGCUUGCUCCUCUGACGUUAGCGGCGGACGGGUGAGUAACACGUGGAUAACCUACCUAUAAGACUGGGAUAACUUCGGGAAACCGAAGCUAAUACCGGAUAAUAUAUUGAACCGCAUGGUUCAAUAGUGAAAGACGGUUUUGCUGUCACUUAUAGAUGGAUCCGCGCCGCAUUAGCUAGUUGGUAAGGUAACGGCUUACCAAGGCGACGAUGCGUAGCCGACCUGAGAGGGUGAUCGGCCACACUGGAACUGAGACACGGUCCAGACUCCUACGGGAGGCAGCAGUAAGGAAUCUUCCGCAAUGGGCGAAAGCCUGACGGAGCAACGCCGCGUGAGUGAUGAAGGUCUUCGGAUCGUAAAACUCUGUUAUUAGGGAAGAACAAAUGUGUAAGUAACUAUGCACGUCUUGACGGUACCUAAUCAGAAAGCCACGGCUAACUACGUG